GGGCGGGGCGGUGCGGGGCGGGGCGUCGCGAGGUGAGACGAGAAGUGAAGUCUACGUAGCAAGGUCUUCUACAGGCGCAAACACACAUACCGACACGCCACGCCACUCCUCAUAACAUCCUACUGGGGACGAGAUACUUUGUGUUGACGUGUAUGAGGCAAGAGAGGCAAGAGAGGUAACACCUGGUACUCAAGUUACUACGGCAGUUUCAAGACACACAUACACACACCAGUCACUCUGCCACUCGGAAAACUGCAGCAACAUGACAAUCAGUACGCUGCUACCAGUGGAAUUCCCAGCUCCUCAUCUUGACCUAUCGUCCAAAGGCACAAACUCCAGAGUAAAGGACGCGGGUGGAUGAAGAAAGAGGUCCAUCAAUAUUCAUUUGCUGGCUAAAAGGAAUGGUUACUUCAGGAGAGUGAACAGGUUUGUUUAAAACAUAAGUGGGCUACUAUCAUCAUAGGAACAAGUGUGGACUAAAAACAACAAAAUACAAACUAUUGAUUUUCACCAUCAUCACAACAGGAAACUAGGAGAGUAAAAAGUGAAUUUCAAGUCAUGGUGCACCGGGUACCACGUUCACUUAUCUACCUAUAUAUCAGGCUGGUAAUUCUAGAUAUGGUGGCCUUAACACACACACACACACACACACACACACACACACACACAUACACUUAGCAUCUUUGGCCUCCAAUGGAAAGAGCCAGUCUCAUAGACUAUCACAAUAUACAAUUACGAGCCAAUGCAUAGCACGGCUGGCCACAUAACGCAUGUAUAUCAAUAGCAAGAUUUGAUAACAUUCACUAUUAUAAUUUUCCUCAGUCUCUUCAUUAUGAGACUAGCUGUUUCCUACUCUGCUCCUACUACAGUCCUGAAACAAGAGCAGUUGCAUUGUCUUCGUACAGAGUAUCCCAUAACGUAACUGGGUCUCUCACCAAUGAGACCCGCCGCGCCAAGUGUGCCCACUCCUCUUCCCACAUGUCAACAAACCACAUAGUUUUUAUGCACUCACUGAUAUUGUUCUCCAUUCACUUCUGCAUGAUACAUUUGUUCUUGCUUGUUGCACAGACAUUCUUGUCUCAUUUAGUGCUCUCACCAUCUCACCCAAUGCGGGUGAACCCUUAAUUCCUUUUAGCCUUCUACCAUCCACACCAUCUCAUUAGUGACUUUACUAAUUUUCUGUCUUUCAGAGAGAGAGAGAGAGAGAGAGAGAGAGAGAGAGAGAGAGGCUGGGGGUGGGGACUAGGUGAAGGAAAUAACCAUCACACAAAUAUAUAUUUUUUUCAAUGAUGUAAACACUUAUAAAGGCUCUAGCUCUCUCUCACUUUCUUCCAUUGUUCCUCUGCCUCCUCCCAUUCUUUGUCGAUCUAGUAUUCGUACAUAAGUGCAUAAAGACAUUAAUAUAUUACUGGUCAGCAAAAUGGUGGAAAUAAAUCAUUCCUUCUUUUCAAGUAGUUUUUCUAUUCCUAGUCCAGCCAAUAGAAUUUUAGAACAGGAAAUGAAAUGAGUGCGAUUCACAAACUCAUUCGAAGCAUUUGAGUGAAGAUCGAGACACGACACACACCUUCAGUCGCCGAGAAGCUGUCACAAGGAACUGUAGUGUUUGUGCUCCAAGAAUUGCAUACAUUCUGAAGGACUAUCCGAGACUGAUCGCCCAUAGAGGAAGCAGCAGCAGAAACAUACAGAAUUCACCAUAGCAGUUAAUGAAAUCAAGUUGCAGCAAGAAGAGUGUGAAUCAAGUUUUGAGUAAGAGAAAGAUUGUCAAGCAAUUUGCAACAGGAAGAGAGCAUGAAAUUCCUAUUUAUUGUGGUGAGACUGACAAGCAACACACAAAAAUUGGCAAGUUUUGCUGCUUCUGCCUCCUGGCCUGGUGCAAGUUUCUACUGCAGUCGGAGAAGAAAAUGUAAGAAGUCCCUAUUCUAAAGAACAGAUCAACAAACACCACUGCCUUCAGAGAUGGAGAAAGGACUGGCUGUAGACACAAUCCAUUUGGGUCUUUUUAGUGCCAGAUCCUGCAGUGAAUCAAAGGCAGCACUAGCUUUGAUUGCAGACUACAUGUGUGGAACGUGGACUGGCAGACCUCUACAAAAAAAUACCUUAGGAAAAUAAAAUAACAGUGGGACAGAACUUACUAUGAGACACUAUGAGUCCUGUCCACAGUCCGAGUGUUGGGUUGGGCUUCCUCACUCGGGGAAACAGUUUCCUAGUGGGUGGGGUUUGAGAUAGGAGGUACCCCCUUUAGCCCAUAAAUUCUUGUGAAAAGCCCACAUGAUAUAAAAAUUCAUUCUUAAGAGGAGCACCACACGUGCAGUCGUCCAACUCAUGUGUUGCAUCUCUUGCUACCUAUAUUAUCUCAUAUACUACUAUCUUUAUAUAAUGGUGAAUACUUCAGAGCAGUGGGUGGAUAGAAACAGAGAAGAAAAGCUUAACCUACUACUGACCAGGAAGCCAAAAACCCAGACCAAGUAUGAAUGAAAUAUUAUCUGCCCCCAUUAGGAGAAAGUGAUCAUGUUGUAAAUACAGGUUAUUGUUUAAGAGAAAAAAGCAAAACACCUCACUAAACUAUGCAAAGACCAAUCUUGAACUUUUAACCCCUUCAGUACUACAUGUUUUCAUUAUAUUCUGCUUACUGUUUGGUGAUUUAUACAGCUUCAGAAACCUAUGUGGGGGGAUUAAAAUAGUAAAGACUCUGGUCAUUAAUCCUCUGACCUCCAUAAACCCAUUCUAAUUAAAUAAUUAUCUAAUCACACCAAAAACUCGAGGUAAAAAUGCAUCCCAGUACUGAAGGGGUUAAAGUAUUAUAUUAGGUAAGUAGUAUAAUGACUGAGUGUUUAUAUGUAUAUAACUAUGUACAGCACUAUUAGAUAAGUAUAAUGACUGACUGAGUGUUUAGAUGAAUAACUAUAUAUAAGUAGAAAAGGAACAGGCAAAGUUAGCGUAACGGCAGAUGUGCUAAGAGACCAAACAAGACCAGGAUAAGACAGGAAGGUGAAGCAGUGGAAUGAAGGAAAUAGGAAAGAAUAUAAAAAGAAAGGAAUGAAUGCUAAAGGUGAACAAAUGCAUAGCGGAACCAAAGCUUUUCACAUGAAUAAAACAAAGCAAUGGAAGAAAAUUGCAUGUCUGUGACUGUUUGGGUGGGUAUGGAAAGUCUCUGGGCAAGGAGGCAAGACUGAUAAAUACAGAACAUAGGGUUGACAGGAUAUGUGCCUUGUUAACACUGAAUUGCUGCUUCCUCUUUCUCUUGGUGAGCUGCAGUGACAGGAAGUUACAGCUGGAUGAGGUUGAUAGGACAUGUGCCUUGUUAACACUGAAUUGCUGCUUCCUCUUUCUCUUGGUGAGCUGUAAUGACAGGAAGUUACAGCUGGUCCAAGCACCAUGAAAGUAACCUUUGCUAUCUUUCUUCCACUUUCACAGAGUGAUGGCAGGAAAGGAAUGAAGAAUAACAGUCGAGGUAGUAAGGAUUACAGAAAGAUAGAGAAAAUUGGAGAAAAAGAUAGUAGUAACCUGCCUGACCAUGAAGAUGCCCAAGGAAGUAAGCUGCACAUAAUCAUCCAGAGCAACGCUACCCAAAUGUAAGGCCAACACUACAAGAAAAUCACCAUUACACCACUGACCCAGAAAAAAGGAAGGAGUGUCCAGUUUUUAAUCCAUUUGCGCCGCUCGUUGUGUCAACGCAACAUGAAACAAGCUAUAACAUGAUGUCAAGUUACACUGAAAGGUGUAUCUGCCUCUGUUACCAAUAGACAUCAAGAACUCCCAGUCGAAAGUUCGUGAUUCCUGAUGUGUCACUGUUUUAGGGGAAAAUUCAGUGAAAAAAGCUCCACUUUCUAAAAAAUGAUGUCUUCAUCAAAAAGGAGAGGAGUGAAGAAAAUCAUUAUUGAAUAUUUGUUCAUAUCUAUUUCACAGUAAUUUUCUAUGUUUCUUUUGAUGACAGAACUCUUUUCAACCAUGUUUUACUUGAUAGGAUGCUGAUGACAGUUGUGUAAAAAAAUUUGCAAAGAAAAAGUUGCGCUAAUGCAACCAUCGGCACCUAGUUGUUCAUUGAUGUUGUGCUAAUGCAAUCAUCGGCACCAGCUUCUUCAGUGAUGUAGUUAUUUUGCGUUGUAUAGUAUUUUUUUUUGCGCAUGUAAUUGCAGUGAAUAGAUAUAUAGGUGUAGUCUAGCAUUGUUUUUUAACAGCAUACAUAUUGUAUACACAAAUUUUAUGCUAUAUGUAUAUUUUUUUUCAGAAAAAUUAGUUUGAACACACAAAGCUUCCCAAAAAUGACAUGUAUAGCAAAGUUUCUCCAUUCAUGGAAAUCCUGAAUGAUAACUUUCUCAAGUAUGGGGAAGUAUUUGGGCCAAGUAAUAAUUCUAGUGAUGAGUCAAUGAUCCCCUAUUUUGGUCAAUAUCCGACUAAGCAGUUCAUUCGGGGAAAACCUGUGUGAUGGGGUUAUGAAGCAUGAGUUGCAGCUGAUCCAAAUAGUUAUGUUUUUGAUAUAUCUGUUUAUCAAGGCAAAGAUGGUGCUAAAGAUAAGGAUAAUCCAGUUUAUGGACUUAGCAGAAAAGUUGUUCUUGAUGUUUUGCAUGUUAUAGAAAAUUGUCCAACAAAGAAGUUAUCCCUUUACUAUGAUGACUUCUUUACAUCGCUUAAACUUAUAGAAAACAUCAAAAGCAGGGGCCAUGAUGCUAUUGGCACACUAAGAAAAAAACAAAUUGAAAAAUGCCCAUUUACUCAUCCUGAAAGGUUAUGAAAUUAUCUAGGGGAUCUGAAGAACAUUUUUGAGAUGCCGAAUCAGAAAUGAUUGCAGCAUGCUGGCAUGAUGAUGGCAUUGUUACCAAUGCAUCAUCUGAGUAUGGUGUAUAACCAGUGGUGAAGGCUGAACAUUAGGCUGCCUUUCAAAAGGAACUUAUGAAUGUUUUGAUGCCAAAUGCCAUCCAUCAGUAUAAUCAGAAAAUGGUUGGUGUUGAUAGACUGCAAUUUGAUCUACAGUACUGGCCUUCAAUUCAUGGGAAAAAAGU